rnacentral:piRNA from 1 species
UAUAACAGGUUGUUGGCUUGAUUUCUGACU